rnacentral:rRNA from 1 species
GACAGAGGGUGCAAACGUUGCUCGGAAUCACUGGGCGUAAAGGGCGUGUAGGCGGGAAGGAAAGUCAGAUGUGAAAUCCCUGGGCUCAACCCAGGAACUGCAUUUGAAACUCCCUUUCUUGAGUGUCGGAGAGGAAAGCGGAAUUCCUGGUGUAGAGGUGAAAUUCGUAGAUAUCAGGAGGAACACCGGUGGCGAAGGCGGCUUUCUGGACGACAACUGACGCUGAGACGCGAAAGCGUGGGGAGCGAACAGG